rnacentral:lncRNA from 1 species
CCAUAAACCUUAGCCUUCAUGAGUAGCAAGCAUACUGAGCUCUGCAGGGGCCAAUGACAGGCACUGAAGGUGCAGGUGUGGAGGAUGGCUGGGUGGCACAGUGAAUGGAAGGAGAGGGAGUGGUACAUUUCCCCCCUCAGUUUAGUUCUUAAUUCAAGGUUUUCAACUUGUAGUGCAUUAAGACUACAAUUAGCAAUGAGGCUGUUUUUUUCACUUGAAGGACUGUAACCUCCCCAUUUUAGGCCUACUGCAGUUUCAAGAUUUAAUAAUUCUCAACAGCAAGACUAGGAACUCUAUCCAAUAUGUUUUUCCUUGCCCAACCCAGUGGCCUGCAGGGUCCAGAGCAGUACAGGUCUGAGAAGUAAACCCUGGGAGUGGUUUGGUGUCAGCUGGGAAAGAGCCCUUGGUGCUAAUCACGGCUCUGCCAUAGGAGCCCUCUGUCACCUUGAGCUAAUCAAUUGUUCCCUGGGACUUAGACACUUCAUCUAAUUUUCACUUAGAUUGGAUGACUUCUGGCACUUUUUCAGUUUUGGCACCUCAUCCAUGAGGGACUCCCAAUGGUGUCCCCAAGAGGUCCCUAAGACAAGCUUACAGAAAGCCCUCCUGUCCUGCUUCAGCUUCCUGGCUGCAGCCUAAGCUGUGGGAGAGCAACCCAGGAGAGGAAGCAUGCACUGGGAAACAGGCACUGGGCCUCUGCUACUUCCUCCAAGCUGCCUCAGUCUCCAGACCUACCUAGGGUGUCCCUGCUACUUCCUGCCUCUGAGGGCUGAGGUGAGACUUCCCAAGAUGACGGGGAGCUGAGUGCAGCUUUUAUGAAUUAAACUUGAAGCCCAGGUGGAAUUCUAAUGUUACUGGCUAAAUGUUCUUGCAAUUUAAGAAAUGUUCG